CGAAAUUUCUUAGGGUUUUGGUGGAUCCCCUAGAAGAUGUGAAAACAUCAUCAAUACCAACAAAUUGUAAAACCAUGGAACCCUAGCAGCCACGAUUCCUGAAUCACGAGGAGUCGGAACAAUACAAACAGUAACUGACUCGGGGUUCUCCCUGCCGACUCAGUUUUGUUUUUGAACCGACAUGAUUUUCAUCAGUUCGUCCUUGAGGGUUGGACCGAUAGCCUCUCCUAAUUUGAAUCAGCACUAUGAUUUGGUUGAGGGUAAUAAAAUUUGCAGAAACGAAAUACAGAUAGAAAAAACAAGAAAUUAUGACUAGUUGGAAUUUCAUGCCGACCCAAACGACAAAGCGAAAAUCGGUGUUCGUUAAUGUCGAUCUACUGAAACCGGGAACAAAUAGACACACUCGAGCGAUGAAGGCUGUUAUCUCUUCACUAGUGAAGAUUCUGAUUAUUCCCAACCAUGGUGGUCGAUAGUUAGUGAUAGCUUCUCAUCCCACUCGAAUCUUCACAACCCACAAAAAAAAGUUUAAGUGUAGUUGAGUUAUGGACAGAGUAUGAAUUAAAUUCGUCUCAUAGAGGUAAUCCCUAACAUCAGGGACAUGGAUGGAUUGUCCCUAAUGUGCAACGAUCGGGGAGCCAUCGAAAAAGCCGAACAAGGAAUUCAAUCGUCUACUCCCAAUAAAAAUAUCGUCUUGUCAUUUGAGGGAAAUGCAUAAGUAAAGGAGACAAAGGCUCUGGCUCUUAUCCAGAAGUAUGAAGCAUUCAAGAUUGAGGAAGAUGAGAACAUUGAAGCAAUGUUUUCAAGAAUCCAGACUCUGACUGCUGGAUUGAGAGUGAUAAAGGCUACACCAAAGUUGAUCAUGUAAAGAAGAUUAUCAGAAGCUUACCCAGAAGAUGGGGACCCAUGGUGACUGCCUUCAAGAUUGCCAAUUUGAAUGAGGUAUCUCUUGAAGAGCUGAUUAGUGUCUUGAGAAGUCAUGAGAUUGAGCUGUAUUCAAAUGAACCUCAGAAGAAAGAUAAGUCUAUUGCUUUGAAAUCAAAUAAAAAAAAUGCACUAACUCUUUUCAGGCAGAUGAAGAAAGAUCUGAAGAGUCAGAAUCUGAAGAAGAGGAUGAACUGUCUCUUAUAUCUAGAAGAGUAAAUCAACUCUGGAAGAGCAAGCAGAGAAGAUUUAAGAACUUAAAAAGACCUGAAAAGGGAGAAUCUUCUAAUCACAAAAGACCUGAAAAGGCAUGAUGGCUACAUGGGACGACUCUGAUUCAUCUGAUCAAGAGUCAAACUCUGAAGAUGAGCAAGCCAACAUAGCACUUAUGGCAAUAGUUGACACUGAAGAAGAAGCUUGAUCGGAAAAUUAUAGCAAGUGCACUAUUUUCUCGAUGUAGUAAUAAUUGGGGUUAUCCCCAGUGUCGAUCUCUUGAGGACUGCGCAGAAACUUAAGUGUUUUAACAAAUUCAAUUGAACAAAAACUCCUUGGUUUGUUUCAAUGUUGUUUGCAAAAUUAUAAAAUAUGAAUUAAAAAUAACAA